CGUGGAGACAGGUGGUGCAUGGCUGUCGUCAGCUCGUGUCGUGAGAUGUUGGGUUAAGUCCCGCAACGAGCGCAACCCUUACCCCUUGUUGCCAUCAGGUCAUGCUGGGCACUCUAGGGGAACUGCCCCGGUCAACGGGGAGGAAGGUGGGGACGACGUCAAGUCAUCAUGCCCCUUACGUCCUGGGCUACACACGUGCUACAAUGGCCGGUACAAAGGGAUGCAAAAUCGCGAGGUGGAGCCAAACCCAGAAAGCCGGUCUAAGUUCAGAUUGGAGUCUGCAACUCGACUCCAUGAAGGAGGAAUCGCUAGUAAUCGCGCAUCAGCACGGCGCGGUGAAUACGUUCCCGGGCCUUGUACACACCGCCCGUCACACCACGAAAGCCAGCUGUACUCGAAGUCGCUGAG
rnacentral:rRNA from 1 species